rnacentral:rRNA from 1 species
UACGUAGGGGGCUAGCGUUGUCCGGAAUUACUGGGCGUAAAGAGCUCGUAGGUGGUUUGUCGCGUUGUCCGUGAAAACUCACAGCUUAACUGUGGGCGUGCGGGCGAUACGGGCAGACUAGAGUGUGGUAGGGGAGAUCGGAAUUCCUGGUGUAGCGGUGAAAUGCGCAGAUAUCAGGAGGAACACCGGUGGCGAAGGCGGUUCUCUGGGACGGUACUGACGCUGAGACGCGAAAGCGUGGGGAGCGAACAGG